ACUGUAAACCUAUUAAAAGGGAUGUAGCGCAGCUUGGUAGCGCGUUUGUUUUGGGUACAAAAUGUCACGGGUUC
rnacentral:tRNA from 2 species